UAUUUCAACAAGACGUGAGACCCUUUUAUAUAGACAGACACAAUCAGUGUAGGAAGGAAAGGAUUAAAACAGGUCCGUUAUGCCCUCAGACAUUUUGGGCUGCACGCGCAAUACAAUAGAUAUACAGUCUUUAUGGGAUAAUAUUUUGUAAGAGAUAUUUGAACUCGGAAUUGCUAGUAAAUUUUAUUGAAUAAGUAGAAUUGAAUGUGUCCCUGUUCUUUGUACACACCGCCCGUCGCUAUCUAAGAUGAUAUAUGCUGUGAAAUUAGUGCAAACUACUUGAACAAUAUGUAUUAGAUCUGAUAUAAGUCGUAACAUGGUUGCUGUUGGAGAACCAUUAGCAGGAUCAUAAUCAGGAAGUAUAAGUUUGUUUGUAUGUCAUUACCCACACAUGGGAUCAAUAGGAUACCAUAACGAUGAAGGUCGUAGUAGAAUACGAAAGUAUACUUACCGAAUUUAUAUUCUAGUAUAGAUUACCCUUUGAACUUAAGCAUAUCAUUAGAAGGAGGAAAAGAAACCUAAC
rnacentral:rRNA from 1 species